rnacentral:lncRNA from 1 species
GUCAAACGUCACCGUCUGGCAAUUUGUCACUGUAUCCUUGCUCAGAAAUAUGAACGAUGGAGGUUCUCUGCUUGGCCCAUUCAUUUUGGUUUCAAUGCCUGGCCUCAGGUACUGCAAUAAACAUCCCCCUCGCUUCCCAGGGAGAUGUCAAAGCAAUUCUCACCGAGCUGAGCCCAGGAUAAGAAGCAAGGAAAAACAAUGUUAUAACAAGGACUUAGCAAAUGCUUGGGCUGCCUUGUGUGAGCACAGAGCUCGUUUUUUGGACUUGAACAUGAGGUUUUCUUACUCUAAGUGCAAUUCUGGGAAGAUCAGAAUUUUGUGAAGAAGAAAAAUGUUUUUAUAAUGCAUUUCUGUAUUGCACUGAUGUACAAGACCUCCAUGUGUGCGUGGUCUGGUUGUGCCAGGGGCUGUACAAACACUGAUUUCCCAGACUUUGCAACAGAAAUUUUUACAGAAGGGAAGUGCUAAUUAGCAUCCACAGUUUGGGAGCCAGUUGAUAGCCUCGAGACCUGGCAGCUGGCCAGCCACAACUUUCAUCAAUCCCAACAUUUGGGAAGUGUCCUGUGCCUGCCAAGUCUGUGGCAUAAACAGACCCAGCAGCAGCCAGGAGCCAAAUCAUGAGUGGGUUUUACUUGCAGUGCUCAGGUUGUGUUCACCUGCUUCCCUGCACCACCACCCAUGGGUUAUUCCCAGUGUCAAUCCUUUGGUGAUUGUGUGCACUCCCACUCCUGCAACCCCAAUUUCUUGUUUUUCUCCUUUGACUCAGAACUUGGCAUCAAACUGCCCAGGAAUAUUUUAUGGUAUUCCCAUCGCUCAGCAUCCAAGGCUGCUCUCAAAGGGUUUUUUUGCUCCACCUCCAGCUUGCUCCAUGCCCAGGGCAGGUUUCUCUUUGGUUUUCCUGACACUGGAGGAAUCUUCCACCUGAGAGUGACCUGUGAGCACAAUCCACAGCCCAACCUGGGUGCUGCUGGGAGCAAUGGGCUGCUGGAACUGUGUGAAUUCCCAGAGGAACACACUGGCCUGGGGGACAUUGAUGAUGUUUUUAUCCUCAGAACUCCUUCGGCAACUUCAGCUGCAGGAAGCAGGAUUCCCUCGCAUAUGGCAGGAACAGGGGAUGACCAAGCUCUGUGUGAGGCUCAGUGA